GGCCCGUCCCACUUGGAGACACAAAAACAUUUGAGUUUAAGCCUGUUAAGGGGCGAUACGUCAACCUUAUUGUGCCUGGACGCAAUGAAUUCCUCACUCUGUGUGAAGUUGAGGUUUAUUCAGAUUAAAUGGAACAAGAUGAUGUCACACCUCAGUUCAAGGAUUCUAUAUUCAAAAUUAAUCAAACUUCUGUUUUCUGAACAAUAUUAAUAGUGUACGUUUUCAUUUGACCUAUGCAGCUUUAAUCAUUUAAUCAAGAGCUCUUUUGAUGCACAAUGAGAAAUGUUUUGAAUGGUGACUGUUUAAAGCUUUGACAUUCUUCACUUCAGUUUGCAGCAGGUUGUGUAUUUACAGCCUGAACAAACCCAUCUUUAUUCAUCUUUGCUUUCUACAUGAAUAAAUUACUACUGCAUUGCA